rnacentral:rRNA from 1 species
CCCUUAGAUGUUCUGGGCCGCACGCGCGCUACACUGAUGCAUUCAACGAGCCUAUCCUUGACCGACAGGUCCGGGUAAUCUUUGAAUCUGCAUCGUGACGGGGAUAGAUUAUUGCAAUUAUUAAUCUUCAACGAGGAAUGCCUAGUAGACGUAGUUCAUCAGACUGCAUCGAUUACGUCCCUGCCCUUUGUACACACCGCCCGUCGCUCCUACCGAUUGGAUGAUCCGGUGAGCUAUUCGGACUUUCGCAUUGUCGAUUUUCGGCUUUACGAGGGAAAGUCUCGCGAACCUUAUCAUCUAGAGGAAGGAGAAGUCGUAACA